rnacentral:rRNA from 1 species
UACGGAGGGUGCGAGCGUUGUCCGGAAUCACUGGGCGUAAAGGGCGCGUAGGCGGCUUGAUAAGUAGGAGGUGAAAAUCCUGCGGCUUAACCGCAGGGCUGCCUUCUAAAACUGUCAGGCUUGAGCACAGUAGAGGCAGGUGGAAUUCCCCGGUGUAGCGGUGGAAUGCGUAGAUAUCUGGAGGAACACCGGUGGCGAAGGCGGCAUCCUGGACCGGUAUUGACGCUGAGGCGCGAAAAGCCAGGGGGAGCAAAACGGGG